GGACGUGUACCCAACCAACCCCUAUUGAGCCUGUCCAAUCGAGACAGAGUUCCUGUACCCAAUCACACGCUCCCACCUUACUUAGAUUUUCAGUGCGCCUUUGAUAUACGCUAACAUUUGCUUUGAGCAUCACAGUUGCUACACGAUCAUCAAAGAAAUACUUUUUCCAGUUGGUGUUCAAGGAGCUAUCUCUCAUCAUGAAGGUUCUCGCAUUUACCCUGAUGUUUUUGGCGCUUAUCUCCUUCGUGAUGUCCCUCUGCAAGAAUGAGGCAGACAGUGCUGCGGGAUGUAUCCUGACCCUGAAGGAGAGCUGGAAAUUCGACGAUGUAGAGUCCAGGGAAGAUGCUAGGGGUGUCCUGUGCUGCGCCGCAGACGACAUCGAGGGAUGUGUGCGAAGACACAUGACGGGAGGAUGUGCUGCCUUUGCGUCUGUGGUAACCGUUAGGGCUAGAGGAGCUUUCUUCAUGGGUGCAACGGGAAACCGAGAGGUUGACUUCUGUGGUGCCACACGCUCGGGUCCCCCGUGCAGUGCCCUGAAAUCUCGUUUUGGAAACUGAGCGACCAGGGCUACUUGCUUUGUAACUGUUCCGUAUAUUAAACGGGCCUUUGCUAAGCGA